UUUUUUUUUUUUGGAACUGGGGGUUGAACCCGGGCUUUGCAAAUGCCAGGCAACAUUCCAGCCCCUAGUUGUCUUCUUGAAUUAACCUUUUCAGGUAUGGAUGUCUUCAUCUGGAUAAAUUUUAACCACUGUUGAGAAGUACCAUGGUAAAUAUUUGAAAGACCUGAGGCCUUCCCCCCACAGUCAUUAAGUCUUACUGGCAAACUGCACCGUUCCAACAUUCUCCCCUUCACAUUCCAGUCAGUACAGUCUGCAUCCUUAAGAGGCAAAAAUUUAUAGUCUAUGGAUGUUAUGAGACAAAUAUGGGAAAUCUGCCCGCAACCGGGUGCGCGCACAGGGAACGCGCGCGCUCGCGCGCUCACACAUACACACCCCCCCGCUAGAAUGGUGACUAGUCAUUUCAGAGCACAACCCUCAAAUAUAACGGCCGGAAAACUGAAAGCACGGGAAAACAAAUCCACAUCAAGCCCUACCCACCUCUUUUAAAAGCUGCGGCCUCCCCCAGGGCCAACCCCCCAAAACGUAAUUCUUACAACGGGCCUCACAUCCGCCUCUCGCCCGUGCUCUCCCCGGCGUCCGGGGGAAACGAAAGGCACUGGCGGCCCCCAACGGCUGACCCCCGCCUGGAGGGAACUAGCGCGUCUCUCUGAGGCGGCUGGCAACCCGAGAUGUCAGAUGCUAGCCCCCCAAAGACUGCAUUUCAUUGGCAUGAAUAAUUCCAAUAAAUGUCAAGAUUCAGAUGAUGUUCCAAAGCCCACCACACCUGACACCUAUAGCACCCCUGUUGUUACAAGGGUCUCCACCUGGGCUAAAAGUAAAUAAGUCCUACCUCAUGACGUGCUUCAAGAAAACCUGGCCUGGACCAAGGAUUUUCAAACUGCGUUCCUCAAAGCUCUAGGGUCCCAAUACUGCAUGAGGGAUGAAAGGAAGGCCAACUGGAUCUCCCCUUUGGCUUCAACCUGUCACCUCCACUUUAAUCUGUUUAUGAAAAGGUUCCACAUGGUGUAAAUGCAUAUAUGUAUAUGCAUACCUAUGUGUUACAUGUAUGGAUAUGUAUACAAGUAACUGCACUUAGGCCUAUAUUUGAAAAAACAAGUUUGGUUGCUUUAAAAAAUGCUUUUGAAAACUACCAGUUUAGGCCAGGUGUAGUGGCAUAUACCUGUAUU